rnacentral:rRNA from 1 species
UACGUAGGGGGCAAGCGUUGUCCGGAUUUAUUGGGCGUAAAGAGCGUGUAGGCGGCUAGGUAGGUCCGUUGUGAAAACUCGAGGCUCAACCUCGAGACGCCGGUGGAAACCAUCUAGCUAGAGUCCGGAAGAGGAGAGUGGAAUUCCUGGUGUAGCGGUGAAAUGCGCAGAUAUCAGGAAGAACACCCGUGGCGAAGGCGGCUCUCUGGGACGUUACUGACGCUGAGACGCGAAAGCGUGGGGAGCAAACAGG